rnacentral:rRNA from 1 species
AUUGAACGCUGGCGGCAGGCCUAACACAUGCAAGUCGAACGAGUGGCGGAAGGGUGAGUAAUGUCUGGGCAACUGCCUGAUGGAGGGGGAUAACUACUGGAAACGGUAACUAAUCCCGCAUACCAGCAGAUGUGCCCAGAUGGGUUGAGCUAGUUGGUGGGGUAACGUCUGACCAAGGCGACGAUCCCUAGCUGGUCUGAGAGGAUGACCAGCCACACUGGAACUGAGACACGGUCCAGACCCCUACGGGAGGCAGCAGUGGGGAAUAUUGCACAAUGGGCGCAAGCCUGAUGCAGCCAUGCCGCGUGUAUGAAGAAGGCCUUCGGGGUGUAAAGUACUUUCAGCGGGGAGGCGUUACCCGCAGAAGAAGCACCGGCUAACUCCGUGCCAGCAGCCGCGGUAAUAC